UCUUGGUCAUUUAGAGGAAGUAAAAGUCGUAACAAGGUUUCCGUAGGUGAACCUGCGGAAGGAUCAUUACCUAGAGUUGUAGGCUUUGCCUGCUAUCUCUUACCCAUGUCUUUUGAGUACCUUCGUUUCCUCGGCGGGUCCGCCCGCCGAUUGGACAAUUUAAACCAUUUGCAGUUGCAAUCAGCGUCUGAAAAAACUUAAUAGUUACAACUUUCAACAACGGAUCUCUUGGUUCUGGCAUCGAUGAAGAACGCAGCGAAAUGCGAUAAGUAGUGUGAAUUGCAGAAUUCAGUGAAUCAUCGAAUCUUUGAACGCACAUUGCGCCCCUUGGUAUUCCAUGGGGCAUGCCUGUUCGAGCGUCAUUUGUACCUUCAAGCUCUGCUUGGUGUUGGGUGUUUGUCUCGCCUCUGCGUGUAGACUCGCCUCAAAACAAUUGGCAGCCGGCGUAUUGAUUUCGGAGCGCAGUACAUCUCGCGCUUUGCACUCAGAACGACGACGUCCAAAAGUACAUUUUUACACUCUUGACCUCGGAUCAGGUAGGGAUACCCGCUGAACUUAAGCAUAUCAAUAAGCGGAGGAA
rnacentral:rRNA from 2 species